rnacentral:sRNA from 1 species
CCAAAGGUCUAUUUUCCCUCUCUAAAGAACCCUGAUCAAAUUAUCCCCAACCCAUGGCUCUAAUCUUAAAAACAAAACCUAGCGGCAUGUGGGUUCUUCGUCGCGCAAACAUGCACUCUUCUUCUUCCUUUUCUCUUUGUUUCUAUUUUUGGUUGCAGUUUUCGCAAGGAGGAAAGGGGUUUUGCGUUAACGUGGCUUGGUGGUGGUGAGGCGCUAGACCUGUGAUUUGUGGCGCUUCAUUAUCGACAUCCGGUGCUCUAGCGUGUUCAUGGCGAAGGGAAGUCGCGUUUGGGUUGUGAUUUUGGGUGGUUCCUUUUUAUUCUUUUCUGUAGAUUGGUGGGGUGAAGUUUAGGGUUCUUGGACUUGUAGCGCUUUGAUGGUCGCGAAAUUUGUGGUUUGUGGUUCACAGGUUGUUGACUUGGAUUUUUGGGGUUUUUGUUUUUGUGUUCUUGCUCUUGUGGAUUGAGGUUAGGGUUUUUGAUUUGGAUUUUUUUUUGGGUUUCUUUUCUUCACGAUUCUAUGCUCUCGCUGUUGUUAGUGAUGAUUGUGCGAGUUAAGGCAAUGGAGGUGCUGAUGGGUUGCAACCAUGGGGGCUUGUGGUAGUGCACACGAAGUUGGACUCAUGAAGAGUCCGCGAAUGUGGAUGUUCUUGUUCGUUAAUGUUGCGGUGGUUACCAGUGACGUUGGACCUUGGUUUGGUUUGGGCUGGGCCUAGCUGAGCCUAUAUUUUGGACAUUGGUUUUGUAAAGGGAAAGACGAAAACAUUAAUAAAUAAAAAAAUAAUAAUAAUGAAAAUUAAAAAAAAUUGAUAUAUAAGUAAGUAUAAG